UUUCCGUAGGUGAACCUGCGGAAGGAUCAUUCAUAAUAAGUGUUUUAUGGCACUUUUUUAAAUCCAUAUCCACCUUGUGUGCAAUGUCAGGGUUGGUCUCUUUCGAUCAGCCCCAAACAUCAACUAUUAUCUCAACUCUUUGUCUGAAAGAUAUUAUGAAUAAAACAAUUCAAAAUACAACUUUCAACAACGGAUCUCUUGGCUCUC
rnacentral:misc_RNA from 1 species